GAUGAACGCUGGCGGCGUGCCUAAUACAUGCAAGUCGAGCGAACAGACGAGGAGCUUGCUCCUCUGACGUUAGCGGCGGACGGGUGAGUAACACGUGGAUAACCUACCUAUAAGACUGGGAUAACUUCGGGAAACCGGAGCUAAUACCGGAUAAUAUAUUGAACCGCAUGGUUCAAUAGAGAAAGACGGUUUUGCUGUCACUUAUAGAUGGAUCCGCGCCGCAUUAGCUAGUUGGUAAGGUAACGGCUUACCAAGGCGACGAUGCGUAGCCGACCUGAGAGGGUGAUCGGCCACACUGGAACUGGGACACGGUCCAGACUCCUACGGGAGGCAGCAGUAGGGAAUCUUCCGCAAUGGUCGAAAGCCUGACGGAGCAACGCCGCGUGAGUGAUGAAGGUCUUCGGAUCGUAAAACUCUGUUAUUAGGGAAGAACAAAUGUGUAAGUAACUAUGCACGUCUUGACGGUACCUAAUCAGAAAGCCACGGCUAACUACGUG
rnacentral:rRNA from 1 species